rnacentral:rRNA from 1 species
UAAGCCGUUGAAGGUGUGUUGUAAAGCAUGCUGGAGGUAUCAGAAGUGCGAAUGCUGACAUGAGUAACGACAAGGGGGGUGAAAAACCUCCCCGCCGGAAGACCAAGGGUUCCUGUCCAACGUUAAUCGGGGCAGGGUAAGUCGACCCCUAAGGCGAGGCCGAAAGGCGUAGUCGAUGGGAAACGGGUUAAUAUUCCCGUACUUCUUACAAUUGCGAUGGGGGGACGGAGAAGGCUAGGUGGGCCUGGCGACGGUUGUCCAGGUUCAAGUGCGUAGGCUGAGUGUUUAGGUAAAUCCGGAUACUCUUAAGGCUGAGACACGACGUCGAGCUACUACGGUAGUGAAGUCAUUGAUGCCAUGCUUCCAGGAAAAGCCUCUAAGCUUCAGAUUGUAAGGAAUCGUACCCCAAACCGACACAGGUGGUCGGGUAGAGAAUACCAAGGCGCUUGAGAGAACUCGGGUGAAGGAACUAGGCAAAAUGGUACCGUAACUUCGGGAGAAGGUACGCUCUUGAUGGUGAAGUCCCUUGCGGAUGGAGCUGACGAGAGUCGCAGAUACCAGGUGGCUGCAACUGUUUAUUAAAAACACAGCACUGUGCAAAAUCGUAAGAUGACGUAUACGGUGUGACGCCUGCCCGGUGCCGGAAGGUUAAUUGAUGGGGUUAGCGUAAGCGAAGCUCUUGAUCGAAGCCCCGGUAAACGGCGGCCGUAACUAUAACGGUCCUAAGGUAGCGAAAUUCCUUGUCGGGUAAGUUCCGACCUGCACGAAUGGCGUAAUGAUGGCCACGCUGUCUCCACCCGAGACUCAGUGAAAUUGAAAUCGCUGUGAAGAUGCAGUGUACCCGCGGCUAGACGGAAAGACCCCGUGAACCUUUACUACAGCUUGGCACUGAACAUUGAACCUACAUGUGUAGGAUAGGUGGGAGGCUUUGAAGACGUGACGCCAGUUGCGUUGGAGCCGUCCUUGAAAUACCACCCUUGUAUGUUUGAUGUUCUAACGUUGGCCCCUAAUCGGGGUUGCGGACAGUGCCUGGUGGGUAGUUUGACUGGGGCGGUCUCCUCCCAAAGAGUAACGGAGGAGCACGAAGGUGGGCUAAUCACGGUUGGACAUCGUGAGGUUAGUGCAAUGGCAUAAGCCCGCUUAACUGCGAGAAUGACGGUUCGAGCAGGUGCGAAAGCAGGUCAUAGUGAUCCGGUGGUUCUGAAUGGAAGGGCCAUCGCUCAACGGAUAAAAGGUACUCCGGGGAUAACAGGCUGAUACCGCCCAAGAGUUCAUAUCGACGGCGGUGUUUGGCACCUCGAUGUCGGCUCAUCACAUCCUGGGGCUGAAGUCGGUCCCAAGGGUAUGGCUGUUCGCCAUUUAAAGUGGUACGCGAGCUGGGUUUAGAACGUCGUGAGACAGUUCGGUCCCUAUCUGCCGUGGGCGUUGGAAGAUUGAAGGGGGCUGCUCCUAGUACGAGAGGACCGGAGUGGACGAACCUCUGGUGUUCGGGUUGUGUCGCCAGACGCAUUGCCCGGUAGCUAAGUUCGGAAUCGAUAACCGCUGAAAGCAUCUAAGCGGGAAGCGAGCCCUGAGAUGAGUCUUCCCUGAUACUUUAAGUAUCCUGAAGGGUUGUUCGAGACUAGAACGUUGAUAGGCAGGGUGUGUAAGCGCUGUGAGGCGUUGAGCUAACCUGUACUAAUUGCCCGUGAGGCUUAACCAUACAACAC